rnacentral:rRNA from 1 species
UACAGAGGGUGCAAGCGUUAAUCGGAUUUACUGGGCGUAAAGCGCGCGUAGGCGGCUUUUUAAGUCGGAUGUGAAAUCCCCGAGCUUAACUUGGGAAUCGCAUUCGAUACUGGGAAGCUGGAGUAUGGGAGAGGAUGGUAGAAUUCCAGGUGUAGCGGUGAAAUGCGUAGAGAUCUGGAGGAAUACCGAUGGCGAAGGCAGCCAUCCGGCCUAAUACUGACGCUGAGGUGCGAAAGCAUGGGGAGCAAACAGG